UCAUACACCUUAUAUUUUACAAUCCCGCCGGCCGCCUUCUUUCAUUUACAAUAACCUAAUUCCCAAAUGGGUAGGCUUUCCUCCGCCGUAGAAAUCCCCGACGACAGGCAUCGAAGCCACCGGAACGGUGACGGCGGCCGGUACUCACCUCAACGGAGCUCGCACUACGACAAUCGACGUCGAUAUCGAAGUCCUAGUCGUAGCCGUAGUCCUAUCAGAAACCGAAACCGAAACCGUAGCCUGAGCCGAAGUGUUAGCGGGAGUCGGAGUCGGAGUCCGGCUUAUAGUCCAUAUAGAGGACAGCAAGCGUCACAUACUAAUGGACGAAACAACCGGCGAUCGUUUUCUCCAGAUCGUUCGUACCGUAGACCAAGCCCUACGAAUGAACCUCCUAGGAGAUUUGGACGGGGGAAGAAACCUUACCUUGAUCGAGAUCAUAAGAGUGGAAGAACUGCAGAUUCUGAUUCGGAUGAAGAGCUUAAAGGCUUGAGUUUUGAAGAGUACCGGAGGCUAAAACGUCAGAAAUUGAGGAAACAGUUGAAGAAUUGUAUUUGGAAUUGCACACCAAGUCCACCUAGGAAAGAAAAUGAGCCGGAAUAUGAAGAACCUGAUGAAAUUGCAGAAAAAAUCGAAGACGAGAUGGUAAAGAAGGAGGAUGGAUCCAAAAAGGAUGUGAAGAGGUCAAAAACUAAGUCUUCCGGAAGUGAGCCCGAUUCCGAAUCUGAAUCAGAUGCAUCGGAUUCUGACUCAGAGGCUUCAGAUUCUGAACCGAGGAAAUCUAGGAAGAGGAAGAAAUCCAGCUCUAAACGUAGGAGUAGGAGAUCGAGAAGGAAGAGUGUGAGUGAAUCGGAGGAAGAGUCUACUGAUGAUUCAUCAUCAGAAGAAGAAAGGAACAAAAGAAGGAAAAAGUCGAGGAGAAAAGAGAGUAGCAGGAGACAUAAAAGGGGUAGUAGUAGCAGGAAGAAAAGAAGCAAAAGGAAAAGCUAUUCAAGCGAGAGUGAGAGUAAAAGCAAGAGCGAAAGCGAAGACGGUGAAAUUGAUGAUUCUGAUGCUAGUAAGAAGCAAAAGAGUGCUUUGAAGAGUAAGAGAAAGAAGGAAGGGGAUAGUGACAUACCAGAGAAGAGCUUCGAGUUGAGUGAUGAUGCUGGAAUUAAUGAGACGAAGGCUGAUGAAGCAAUGAUAGAUGAAGUUAAUGGUGAGGUGCUUGAAUUUAAAGAACUUAUUGAGGCAAGGAAGAGGAGUAAUUUUGAAGAUGAGGCCCCAGUUGGUCCAAUGCCCUUGCCAAGGGCUGAAGGACAUAUCAGCUAUGGUGGGGCACUUAGGCCUGGUGAAGGUGAUGCUAUUGCCCAAUAUGUUCAGCAAGGGAAGCGUAUUCCACGUAGAGGUGAAGUGGGUCUUUCUGCUGAUGAGAUUUCGAAAUUCGAGGGUCUUGGCUAUGUGAUGAGUGGUAGUAGGCAUCAAAGGAUGAAUGCUAUUCGUAUCAGAAAGGAAAACCAAGUUUACAGUGCUGAAGACAAGCGAGCGUUGGCCAUGUUUAACUAUGAGGAGAAGGCUAAGCGUGAGCAGAAGGUUAUGGCAGAUUUGCAGCGCCUUGUGCAACGCCACAUUGGUCAGGAUACUGAAACUUCUCACGAUCCGUUUGGAGGGAAGUCUACAGAAGCAGCUGAUGAUUGAUCCUUUUCACUUGCACUUUCUCAAGAAGCUAGAUGAGGCAGUGAUUGUUUUGGUGAUAUGCUGUUUCAAAUUAUAUUGAUGACUUCGUGACUGGUGUAUUUGAGUGUAUGAUGCCAUUCUGUGUGCUUCUUCAGUUGACUAAAUGCAUGUUCGCGUCUAUUCAGAGUCGGAUCCUCUAACAGUAGUGCAUUCUUGAAGGAUCUGACACAGGUUUGGAAAGACUGAGCACCAUAGCUUUAGGAAACAUUGUGUAACUUUAUUGACACUGAUUGUAACCUGCUGUGGUUUUCAUUAAGUCCAUCUUUAUUCAACAAUGCCACAGUUAAUUGUCUUUGAGCAGCAUGAAGGAGAACCUUGGAGCAAUGAUAAAGUUGUCUCGAUGUGGACCCGUAGGCCUCAUGUUCGAGCUGUGGAAUCAAUCACUGAUGCUUGCGUCAAGGUAAGCUGCAUACAGCACAAUCCCUUGGCAUGCGUCUCUUCCCUUGAACAUGUGUGAACGCGGGAUGCAUAUAGUCAAACAAUCAGAGUAUAUAAUCGAGAUGUAUUUUAGUCAGUAUUGUGAAAGCUUGUUUUAGGCUCCUAAGUUCCGGCUUCAAACCUAUGUGUGCUUUGGUCAUUCGUUUAGCCUAUGUUGCUCCGACUCUUCAAAACUAUUGCCAAGUUCUGUUUCAUGUUCAGAAUUCAUAACAUUCAAGUA